GGAAACGACGUCUAAUACUGGAUAUGACUACUGGUCGCAUGGCCUGGUGGUGGAAAGAUUUUUCGGUUGGGGAUGGACUCGCGGCCUAUCAGCUUGUUGGUGAGGUAAUGGCUCACCAAGGCGACGACGGGUAGCCGGCCUGAGAGGGUGACCGGCCACACUGGGACUGAGACACGGCCCAGACUCCUACGGGAGGCAGCAGUGGGGAAUAUUGCACAAUGGGCGAAAGCCUGAUGCAGCAACGCCGCGUGAGGGAUGACGGCCUUCGGGUUGUAAACCUCUUUUAGUAGGGAAGAAGCGAAAGUGACGGUACCUGCAGAAAAAGCACCGGCUAACUACGUGCCAGCAGCCGCGGUAAUACGUAGGGUGCAAGCGUUGUCCGGAAUUAUUGGGCGUAAAGAGCUCGUAGGCGGUUUGUCGCGUCUGCUGUGAAAUCCCGAGGCUCAACCUCGGGCUUGCAGUGGGUACGGGCAGACUAGAGUGCGGUAGGGGAGAUUGGAAUUCCUGGUGUAGCGGUGGAAUGCGCAGAUAUCAGGAGGAACACCGAUGGCGAAGGCAGAUCUCUNNNCCGUAACUGACGCUG
rnacentral:rRNA from 1 species